rnacentral:rRNA from 1 species
AUUGAACGCUGGCGGCAUGCCUUACAUAUGCAAGUCGAACGGCAGCACGGGUGCUUGCACCUGGUGGCGAGUGGCGAACGGGUGAGUAAUACAUCGGAACAUGUCCUGUAGUGGGGGAUAGCCCGGCGAAAGCCGGAUUAAUACCGCAUACGAUCUACGGAUGAAAGCGGGGGACCUUCGGGCCUCGCGCUAUAGGGUUGGCCGAUGGCUGAUUAGCUAGUUGGUGGGGUAAAGGCCUACCAAGGCGACGAUCAGUAGCUGGUCUGAGAGGACGACCAGCCACACUGGGACUGAGACACGGCCCAGACUCCUACGGGAGGCAGCAGUGGGGAAUUUUGGACAAUGGGCGAAAGCCUGAUCCAGCAAUGCCGCGUGUGUGAAGAAGGCCUUCGGGUUGUAAAGCACCUUUGUCCGGAAAGAAAUCCUUGGCCCUAAUACGGUCGGGGGAUGACGGUACCGGAAGAAUAAGCACCGGCUAACUACGU